rnacentral:rRNA from 1 species
UACGUAGGGUGCGAGCGUUGUCCGGAAUUACUGGGCGUAAAGGGCGCGUAGGCGGCCAUCUAAGUCAGACGUGAAAUCCCCCGGCUUAACCUGGGAACUGCGUCUGAUACUGGACGGCUCGAGUAUGGGAGAGGGAUGUAGAAUUCCAGGUGUAGCGGUGAAAUGCGUAGAUAUCUGGAGGAAUACCGGUGGCGAAGGCGGCAUCCUGGACCAUUACUGACGCUGAGGCGCGAAAGCUAGGGGAGCAAACAGG